AGUGAACGCUGGCGGUAGGCCUAACACAUGCAAGUCGAACGGCAGCACAGGAGAGCUUGCUCUCUGGGUGGCGAGUGGCGGACGGGUGAGGAAUACAUCGGAAUCUACUUUUUCGUGGGGGAUAACGUAGGGAAACUUACGCUAAUACCGCAUACGACCUACGGGUGAAAGCAGGGGACCUUCGGGCCUUGCGCGAUUGAAUGAGCCGAUGUAGGGUUAGCUAGUUGGCGGGGUAAAGGCCCACCAAGGCUACGAUCCGUAGCUGGUCUGAAGGCAGGGUCAGCCACACUGGAACUGAGACACGGUCCAGACUCCUACGGGAGGCAGCAGUGGAGAAUAUUGGACAAUGGGCGCAAGCCUGAUCCAGCCAUACCGCGUGGGUGAAGAAGGCCUUCGGGUUGUAAAGCCCUUUUGUUGGGAAAGAAAUCCAGCUGGCUAAUACCCGGUUGGGAUGACGGUACCCAAAGAAUAAGCACCGGCUAACUUCGUGCCAGCCGCCGCGGUAA
rnacentral:rRNA from 1 species